GGACCCGGUAGAAUUGAAGUUACCCUCUGAAUUUAAGCAUAUAAGUAAGUGGUGGAAAAGAAACGCGAAAGGAUUCUUCAAGUAAUGGCGAAUGAAGAAGGAUGAGCUCACAACUAGAAGCAAAGCCUCGUGCUUUGCGUUGUAUUCUCUUGAUCCGUGACCAGCAGGGCGGCGUGUGUAAUUCUCCUGGAAAGAGGUGCAAUGAAUGGUGAAAGCCCAGUUCAACACACGUCUCGCGCUGCGUACCGUCCGGAAUCUCGGAGUCGCGUUCCCUGGGACGGGAGCGUAAAUCAGAUGGUAUAUUUCAUCUAAAGCUAAAUAUCUUCUCGAGACCGAUAGAGAACAAGUACCAUGAGGGAAAGAUGAAAAGUACUUUGAAAAGAGGGUUAGACGCGCCUGCAACCACUGUAUUACAAGCACUUGGAUCCUUCCAGUUUACUGGAUCAGCGAGUCCCCACCGGGUGUGCAGCGCUGGCCAACCAAGGUCACGCUCGUCCCCAUUCCGGGCUCGUGGAAUCCGGUAGAUAUUAUCGGCGCAACUAGCAGGCCCGGCAGUGAACCAACCGCGCUUUGGACCCCUCCUAGAGGGGAUCACGCGGCGUCAUCCAUGGGUCUAGUUCUUGUUUUCUCGAGGAGGUCUCUCCUCGACGCCGAUUCGGUAAAGGUUUCAAAUGACCCGUCUUGAAACACGGACCAAGGAGUCCACACACGUGUGCGAGUACGUGCGGUGAAACCGUAUGUGCGGAAUGAAAGUGAUUGUUACAAUGUCGUGGUUUCUACACCCUUUAGUAGUAACAACCGACCUUGCUCCACGGAAAGAGGUUUGAGUGUGAGCACACCUGUUGGGACCCGAAAGAUGGUGAACUAUAUCUGAGGAGGGUGAAGCCAGGGGAAACCCUGGUGGAAGCUCGUAGCGAUACUGACGUGCAAAUCGUUCGUCACACUUGGACAUAGGGGCGAAAGACUAAUCGAACCAUCUAGUAGCUGGUUCCCUUCGAAGUUUCCCUCAGGAUAGCUGGUGUAAAGCAGUUUCAUCAGGUAAAGCGAAUGAUUAGAGGAUUCGGGGACGCGUUGUCUUCGACCUAUUCUCAAACUUUAAAUGGGUGCGUAGUCGGGAUUACUUCAGUGAAUCUCCGACGUGUAAUGUAUACAUCUAGUGGGCCUUUUUUGGUAAGCAGAACUGGCGAUGAGGGAUGAACCUAACGGCGGUGUAAGGUGCUCAAUUGUUCGCUCAUCAGACACCAAGAAGGGUGUUGGUUCAUUUUGACAGCAGGACGGUGGUCAUGGAAGUAGAAACCCGCUUAGGAAUGUGUAACAACUC
rnacentral:rRNA from 1 species